GAAGACAGGAGAGGCUUUUCAAUGGAGAAUUAUAGCAUAUGCUGGAUAGAGAAACAAAGAUCACUCAGGCAAAAUCAUGUCUGUGUACACAGCUGCCUGACUUGACAUAGGAUUACUCCCGUUUCCAGUCGGACUCCAAAGUUCGUCAUCUGAAAGCAGCCUUUGGACUGCAGCAAACGUGGUUCUGUCUCAGCAGGACAGGUAAGAGAGAAAGGCUGUGGGAAGGCCCAGGCCCCAGGCAGGUGUGGAUGGGAGAGUGUGGAUGAAGUCAUGGAAGAAGAGGCCUGUUCCACGCACAGAGCGCCUCUUGAGCAAGGCUGGCAAAAGCAUGGACCAGAAAUUGUUGUUCCUUCAACACAGUAAUCCAACUAAAUUCACCAGUACAGAGACAUUCAGAAAGAAUGAUCCUGUGGAA